CAACAUUCAAUUCAUAUAAAACAAUUUUUAAAUGUUAAAUAUGAAUGUGAAUGUUCU
rnacentral:pre_miRNA from 1 species